AUUUUUUGGGUUCGAACAGGGCUUUUAGAGAAGGCCAAGUCUCAGGUCAAUGUGUUAAAGGAACAGUAUAAGGAGCUUGCUGAAGUUCUUGGAGGAAGCUCUGGGCAAUACUAUAGGUAUCAUGGUGAUUGGAAGAGUGAAACACAGACUGUAGUUUCGAUGCUUACGUUCAUGCACUGGCUAGAAACAGGAAGCCUUCUCGAGCACAAAGAGGCUGAGGAAAAACUUGGGUUGGGUUCAGACUUCGGUCUAGACGUUGAAGACUACUUAAUAGGUGAGUCUUUUAAAACAUGUACUUGUUUAGCAUUAACUGUGUAAUAAUCGUUUCUGGAGAUGAAUAUGAUCCUAUUGCGCAUUUUCUCGGGCUAGCUUCCUUCAGGGGGCGUGGUCAACUUAAAUAUGGUUAUAAUUUUAAAAAAACACGGGUAUGGCGGUUAUAAUAAGUGGGAUUUCCGGGACAACGGAUCAAUAACCAAAUGUGUACGUUAGUGUUA